AGUGAACGCUGGCGGUAGGCCUAACACAUGCAAGUCGAACGGCAGCACAGUAAGAGCUUGCUCUUACGGGUGGCGAGUGGCGGACGGGUGAGGAAUACAUCGGAAUCUACUUUUUCGUGGGGGAUAACGUAGGGAAACUUACGCUAAUACCGCAUACGACCUACGGGUGAAAGCAGGGGAUCUUCGGACCUUGCGCGAUUGAAUGAGCCGAUGUCGGAUUAGCUGGUUGGCGGGGUAAAGGCCCACCAAGGCGACGAUCCGUAGCUGGUCUGGGAGGAUGAUCGACCACCCUGGAACUUGAACAGGGUCCCAGCUCCUACGGGGGGCGACAGAGGGGAAUUUUGGGCAAUGGGGGGAAACCUUGCCCGGACCUCCCGGGUGGGGUAAAAAGGCCUUGGGGGUGUAAAGCCCUUUUUGUGGGAAAAAAAAGCCUCAGGUUAAAACCCCGCCGUUCUGACGGUACCCAAAGAAAAAGCAACGGCUAACUUCGUG
rnacentral:rRNA from 1 species